rnacentral:rRNA from 1 species
GACGAACGCUGGCGGCGUGCCUAAUACAUGCAAGUCGAGCGGACAGAAGGGAGCUUGCUCCCGGAAGUUAGCGGCGGACGGGUGAGUAACACGUGGGCAACCUACCCUGUAGAUCGGGAUAACAUCGAGAAAUCGGUGCUAAUACCGGAUAAUCAUUUGAAGUGCAUGCUUCGAAUGUAAAAGAUGGCUCCGGCUAUCACUACGGGAUGGGCCCGCGGCGCAUUAGCUAGUUGGUAAGGUAAUGGCUUACCAAGGCAACGAUGCGUAGCCGACCUGGGAGGGUGAUCGGCCAAACUGGGACUGAGACACGGCCCAGACUCCUACGGGAGGCAGCAGUAGGGAAUCUUCCGCAAUGGACGAAAGUCUGACGGAGCAACCCCGCGUGGGGGAUGAAGGUUUUCGGAUCGUAAAGCUCUGUUGUUAGGGAAGAACAAGUGCCGUUUGAAUAAGGCGGCACCUUGACGGUACCUAACCAGAAAGCCACGGCUAACUACGUGCCAGCCGCCGCCGUAAUAC